CCUACGGGUGGCUGCAGUGGGGAAUAUUGGGCAAUGGAGGAAACUCUGACCCAGCAAUGCCGCGUGAAUGAAGAAGGUCUUCGGAUUGUAAAGUUCUUUAGUCAGGGAAGAAUAAAAUGACGGUACCUGAAGACUAAGCUCCGGCUAACUACGUGCCAGCAGCCGCGGCAAUACGUAGGGAGCAAGCGUUGUUCGGAAUGACUGGGCGUAAAGGGUGCGUAGGCGGUUAUACAAGUUAGAAGUGAAAUCCCCCGGGCUUAACUCGGGUGCUGCUUCUAAUACUGUAAGACUUGAGUGCAGUAGAGGUUGGUGGAAUUCCUGGUGUAGCGGUGAAAUGCGGAGAUAUUAGGAAGAACACCGAAGGCGAAGGCAGCUAACUAAGCUACAACUGACGCUGAGGCACGAAAGUGUGGGGAGCAAACAGGAUUAAAUACCCCAGUAGUC
rnacentral:rRNA from 1 species